rnacentral:rRNA from 1 species
AUUGAACGCUGGCGGCAGGCCUAACACAUGCAAGUCGAACGGUAACAGGAAGAAGCUUGCUUCUUUGCUGACGAGUGGCGGACGGGUGAGUAAUGUCUGGGAAACUGCCUGAUGGAGGGGGAUAACUACUGGAAACGGUAGCUAAAACCGCAUAACGUCGCAAGACCAAAGAGGGGGACCUUCGGGCCCCUUGCCAUCGGAUGUGCCCAGAUGGGAUUAGCUUGUUGGUGGGGUAACGGCUCACCAAGGCGACGAUCCCUAGCUGGUCUGAGAGGAUGACCAGCCACACUGGAACUGAGACACGGUCCAGACUCCUACGGGAGGCAGCAGUGGGGAAUAUUGCACAAUGGGCGCAAGCCUGAUGCAGCCAUGCCGCGUGUAUGAAGAAGGCCUUCGGGUUGUAAAGUACUUUCAGCGGGGAGGAAGGGAGUAAAGUUAAUACCUUGGCUCAUUGACGUUACCCGCAGAAGAAGCACCGGCUAACUCCGUG